rnacentral:rRNA from 1 species
UACAGAGGGUGCGAGCGUUAAUCGGAAUUACUGGGCGUAAAGCGUGCGUAGACGGUCAUGUAAGUCGGGUGUGAAAGCCCCGGGCUCAACCUGGGAAUUGCAUUCGAGACUGCAUGGCUUGGGUGCGGAAGAGGGAAGCGGAAUUUCCGGUGUAGCGGUGAAAUGCGUAGAUAUCGGAAGGAACACCAGUGGCGAAAGCGGCUUCCUGGUCCGACACCGACGUUCAGGCACGAAAGCGUGGGGAGCAAACAGG